UGCUAUACAUGCAGUCGAGCGAUGGAUUAAGAGCUUGCUCUUAUGAAGUUAGCGGCGGACGGGUGAGUAACACGUGGGUAACCUACCCAUAAGACUGGGAUAACUCCGGGAAACCGGGGCUAAUACCGGAUAAUAUUUUGAACUGCAUAGUUCGAAAUUGAAAGGCGGCUUCGGCUGUCACUUAUGGAUGGACCCGCGUCGCAUUAGCUAGUUGGUGAGGUAACGGCUCACCAAGGCGACGAUGCGUAGCCGACCUGAGAGGGUGAUCGGCCACACUGGGACUGAGACACGGCCCAGACUCCUACGGGAGGCAGCAGUAGGGAAUCUUCCGCAAUGGACGAAAGUCUGACGGAGCAACGCCGCGUGAGUGAUGAAGGCUUUCGGGUCGUAAAACUCUGUUGUUAGGGAAGAACAAGUGCUAGUUGAAUAAGCUGGCACCUUGACGGUACCUAACCANAAAGCCACGNCUAACUACGUGCCAGCAGCCGCGGUAAUACGUAGGUGGCAAGCGUUAUCCGGAAUUAUUGGGCGU
rnacentral:rRNA from 1 species